rnacentral:lncRNA from 1 species
UUUUUUUUUUUUUUAAGAAAAUAUGUACUCACGGUGAUAAACCAAAAUAUAAUGUACCAUAGAGGAGAACAAAACCUCAAUUCUACCUUUCCCACAGCCACCCUGUUCUUAUCCAUCCUGAGUUGUUCAGUUUCCUCCUGUGACCCAAAGAGGCAGCCCGCACAAGCAUGUAAGUGGUUCAACUCUAAAGUGUUCAUAAGUGGAACAUUUAAUAAAGUGAGAGGAAAGGGGUUUAUAACCUUUUUUCUAUGGGUCGCCAUUGACUUUCAUAGACUGGGAGAUAUUCAAGAUGUGUGGGCCUGGUGGUACUCCUUUCGCUGCCAUUUUUGUUGCAUUUUUAGUUCUGAGGAAGCUAUAACAUAGUGAACAGGACUGAUCCCAGAAGUUUGGCCAGCACUAAACCCACAGCGUUAAAGAUCUGAGCUGAGGAUCCUCCUUGGCUUCUGUUUCCCAGCUUUUUACACAAUGUCAUUUUCUUGAUGAUGGACUAAACUUCGAAGUCAACCUUCUGCCUUUGAGAAAGCUGGAGAACUGUAAAUGGUCGCUUGAAUCUACAGCUUAAUCCUCUUUGGUCAUCUCUGCAGCAG